rnacentral:tRNA from 1 species
GGGAAAGUGGCUUAGUGGUAGAGUGCUUGCAUAAAGCCCUGGGUUCGAUUCCUAACUUUCACA